GACGAACGCUGACGGCGUGCUUAACACAUGCAAGUCGAAGGGAGUGGCGAACGGGUGAGUAACACGUGAGUAACCUGCCCUUUUCUUUGGGAUAAGCCUGGGAAACUGGGUCUAAUACUGGAUGGAUUGGGCUUGUGUCGCGGCUUAUCAGCUUGGUGGUGGGGUGAUGGCUUACCAAGGCUUUGACGGGUAGCCGGCCUGAGAGGGUGGUCGGUCACACUGGGACUGCGAUACGGCCCACACUAGUAAGGGAGGGAGCAGUGGGUGAUAUUGCGCAAUGGACGAAAGUCGGAUGCAGCGAUGUCGUGUGGGGGAUGGAGGCCUUCGGGUUGUGGACUCCUUUCGCGAGCGGAAUGGUAGUGGGUAAAGAAGCGCCGGCUAACUACGUGCCAGCAGCCGCGGUAAUUC
rnacentral:rRNA from 1 species